GGCCUGGUAGCACAGUGGUUAGUGCAUCUGCAUGUUGUGGAUUUUUCUCAUCUUAUCUUUCUGCAGAAGAUCUCCGUUCGACUCGGGGUCAGGUCA